UACGUAGGGGGCAAGCGUUGUCCGGAUUUACUGGGCGUAAAGAGCGUGUAGGCGGCCACGCAGGUCCGUUGUGAAAACUGGAGGCUCAGCCUCCAGCUGUCGACGGAAACCGUGUGGCUAGAGUCCGGAAGAGGAGAGUGGAAUUCCUGGUGUAGCGGUGAAAUGCGCAGAUAUCAGGAAGAACACCAAUGGCGAAGGCAGCUCUCUGGGACGGUACUGACGCUGAGACGCGAAAGCGUGGGGAGCGAACAGG
rnacentral:rRNA from 1 species